GGGCCUAUAGCACAACGGCCAGUGCAGGGGACUCAUAAUCCCUUGGUUGCAGGUUCGAAUCCUGCUGGGCCCACCA
rnacentral:tRNA from 1 species